AUGUAGCUGAAUUGGUAAAGCGCUUGCCUAGCUCGCAUGAAACCUGGGUUUGAUCCUCGGCCCAGCAU
rnacentral:tRNA from 1 species